AACAUUCUAUCAGUAGAGCACACCCUGGAGAGAAUGGACCUGGUCCAUGCUUUAGUGGAGAAGGUUAGAAUCGACUUAAGAACAGGGCUAGUAACAAGGCACCCCAUUUCAGCAAGAAAUCUGGAUUUCGCAGUAUUAAAUCCAGCUUAUGUUGCAAAGAAGAACAAAUAUGUGUACGCGGCGGUUGGGGACCCAAUGCCAAAAAUAGCAGGAGUGGUGAAACUGGAUGUGUCUAAGGGAGAGCGGCAGGAGUGUAGUAGAAUGUAUGGGCCGGGCUGCUUUGGUGGGGAGCCAUUCUUUGUUGCCAAGGAGCCACAAAAUCCUGAGGCAGACGAGGAUGAUGGAUAUGUGGUUUCGUAUGUCCACAAUGAAAACACAGGAGAGUCAAGGUUCUUGGUGAUGGACGCACAAUCACACAAUCUUGACAUUGUGGCAGCCGUGAAGCUGCCACGUAGGGUUCCCUACGGUUUUCAUGGACUAUUUGUGAGGGAAAGUGACCUAAAUAAGCUGUAGAAGUAGAUUCACUUCCUCUCGGUCGGG
rnacentral:lncRNA from 1 species